AGUGAUACUUCGGUAGAUCAUCCAGACAAUGANUGNAACAAUGUCUCGUAUUGACCAUGGUGUGAAUCCCCUACAAAGGGUAAGUGGUGGUGAAGUUGUGUGGAACAUGACAAUGAGUAGGGAUAUGAAGUCGGNAGUCUAACUAUUGACCAACUUCCUACNCAUAACAUAGACUAUACACCAACACCACAACAUCACUACAGUAGUGGGUCUCUAUUCGACCCGUCUUGA
rnacentral:rRNA from 1 species